rnacentral:rRNA from 1 species
GAACCUUACCAGGUCUUGACAUCCCGAUGCUAUUUCUAGAGAUAGAAAGUAACUUCGGUACAUCGGUGACAGGUGGUGCAUGGUUGUCGUCAGCUCGUGUCGUGAGAUGUUGGGUUAAGUCCCGCAACGAGCGCAACCCCUGUGGUUAGUUGCCAGCAAGUAGCGUUGGGCACUCUAGCCAGACUGCCGGUGAUAAAUCGGAGGAAGGUGGGGACGACGUCAAAUCAUCAUGCCCUUUAUGUCCUGGGCUACACACGUACUACAAUGGCCGUUACAACGGGAAGCGAAGGAGCAAUCCGGAGCAAAUCCCUUAAAGGCGGUCCCAGUUCAGAUUGUGGGCUGAAACUCGCCCACAUGAAGGCGGAAUUGCUAGUAAUUGCAGAUCAGCAUGCUGCAGUGAAUACGUUCCCGGGCCUU